UGGGCCAUCGGGGCAAUGGAUACCUGCUUUUUUUUU
rnacentral:ncRNA from 1 species